AGCUCCAGUAGCGUAUAUUAACGUUGUUGCAGUUAAAAAGCUCGUAGUUGGAUUUCUGGCUAGGGUCUCCUGAUCCCACGCGGUUACGCGUGCGCGUGUCGGCGAGGCUUGGCCAUCCUUCCGGGGAGUCCGUCUGCCCUUGAUUGGUGCGGGCGCGGCGACUCGGAUCGUUUACUUUGAAAAAAUUAGAGUGUUCAAAGCAGGCUUUAUGGCCUUGAAUACAUUAGCAUGGAACAUCACCAUAGGACUCUGGUUCUAUUUUGUUGGUUUCUAGGACUGAAGUAAUGAUUGAUAGGGAUAGUUGGGGGUGCUAGUAUUGGAUGGCCAGAGGUGAAAUUCUUAGAUUCAUUCAAGACUAACUAAAGCGAAAGCAUUCACCAAGGAUGUCUUCUUUAAUCAA
rnacentral:rRNA from 1 species